UACGGUGAAUACGUUCCCCGGACCUUGUACACACCGCCCGUCAAGCCAUGGAAGCCGGGUGUACCUAAAGUCGAUAACCGUAAGGAGUCGCCUAGGGUAAAAACUGGUGACUGGGGGCU
rnacentral:rRNA from 1 species